rnacentral:rRNA from 1 species
AUUGAACGCUGGCGGCAGGCCUAACACAUGCAAGUCGAACGAGUGGCGGACGGGUGAGUAAUGUCUGGGAAACUGCCUGAUGGAGGGGGAUAACUACUGGAAACGGUAGCUAAUACCGCAUACCAUCAGAUGUGCCCAGAGGGGAUUAGCUUGAUGGUGGGGUAACGGCUCACCAAGGGGACGAUCCCUAGCUGGUCUGAGAGGAUGACCGGCAACACUGGAACUGAUCAACGGUCCAGACUCCUAGGGGAGGCAGAGGUGGGGAUGAUUGCACAAUGGGGGUAAGCCUGAGGAAGCCAUGCCGCGUGUAUGAAGAAGGCCUUCGGGUUGUAAAGUACUUUCAGCGGGGAGGCGUUACCCGCAGAAGAAGCACCGGCUAACUCCGUGCCAGCAGCCGCGGUAAUUC